rnacentral:lncRNA from 1 species
CUUUUGAAGUUUUUAAUGAUUCCUAUGUCUAGAUGCAUGUAAAAUAGGGGAAUACUUAAUAGCUUUACUGUUUGCUUGCACAGAAAUGAAACAUAUAGAAAAGACAUUAGUGAAUAAAUGAAUGAAGGGUGUUUAACAACCAGGCAUUUGUUACAACCACUAGUCAUCCUAUGCUGUCUUUUUCCUCUUGAGCCUCCCAAAACUUCUACAAUGUGAAAUUAUUACAGAAUCACUAAUUAUUCCCCACCCCAGAUACUUCUCAAAAAAGUGAUGCCAUCCACUGAAGAUUUAUGGCAAAACAAGACAACAAACUUAUUGUUAGGAAAUUCUCCUGUCAUAAGGAUUUACAGGAGUUUUUGGAAAUAAUACCUAAGGGGGUAUUUAUUUUGCUUCUUUCCUUUCUCGGCUUUGAGGUGGAGCCUGAUUCUCCGUGUUGGCCGUUGAUCACGGUGGAGGCUAUGGAGAGGUAGCCAUGUAAUUUCUUUAUCUUUCACCUGCAAAUUACACACAUUAUUUUGCAGCUCAAAAUAAGCAUUCCCAACGAGUUGCAUUCAGUAAAUGUCUUUCACAGCAUUAGUACAGAACUGAGGUACAAAAGAAUAUUAAUCUAAUACAUUCCAAAAUUCAAAUACUUGUGAUUAAUAAGCAUUAUUAUCUAUAAAUAAGGCCCUAAUGAUACUUUGGCAGUGUUGUAAACACAAGAAUCAGAGGCAAUUAUUGUCAUUAUUGUUCGGCAAGUACUUCCCAUGAAUACCAAAUGGGUAUUGCUGCCCAGCUACUUGGCAAGUAAGGUUCCUAUAAAGAAGCAGAUGUUGUCCAGUCAGGACUGGCUACUAUCAACUGCCCUUAGCCCAAAACACAGAGUCCUUAAAGAAAGAAAAAAAAACCCCAACAUAUCAAAAACAAUUUUGACGUGAUUUUUAAAAAAAAUGCCCUUUAUAAUAAAUAUAAAAGCAUCUUGAGAAUAACGCUGUUUCCCAGUACUGACUUUGGUGAAUUGGCUACAUCAGCAACCAUUGUGUUAGCCGGAAGGAAAGGUCUCCUCUGCGGGGCUCUAGACCCAGUGUGAUGAGGUCCCUUGAAGAAAAUCAGUGGACAACAAAAAAUCAGUUACAACAAUACAAAUAAUGCUUCCAAGAGCAUGGGCAUGACCACGUCUUUAUCUUUUUUCCCUUCCACAGGCCACACAGAGCUUACUCUCUCUGUUAAGCAGGCCCAACCCACCAGGCCCAGCUGCAACACCAUGUGUGUGUGUGUGUGUGUGUGUGUGUGUGUGUGUGUGUGUGUGUAUGUGGUAGGGUAGGGGGAAGACCUACCACAGUACAAGUUAAAUCAAGUUCCUCAUACUCAGAGAAAACUGGACACAGCUCCCUGGCCACACGUUCACUCUUCACUCUGGGUCUUAGAAGUCAAUGCAGGCCCAGCGUUGGCUGUGUCAGUGAGCUGAUUUUAGCUUGCAGUCUUACUGAAUUCAAUGGCAUUGGGUAACAGCUAAAUUGGUUUUUGUGGAGAGGAAAAAAAAGUUUUGUACACAUUUUCCUAAGGGAUAGGUGCAUUAAGCAUCAAAUAGAGAUUUUUUUGUCUAUUUUUAAAUUUUCUUGCGCCACGCUUAUGCUUUAAAGAUGUUACACGUCUGUACAGAGGGACUUGAGAAAGCAUUGAACUGCUUUCCCAAGGCACUGGAGAAACUUAGAGAGGAGGCUUAGGGUGGCGGUGGGGGAGGUGGAUGUUGCAGAGAAACGACCUCUUUGCCAACCAUUGUUCUUGGCUCUCAGUUUCAGCGUGAGCGUGCUCUUGAUGGAGAAUGCAUUGUGGAAGGGGACACUAACCCCUGGAGGUGUGGAAACUGACAACUCAAAGGUGAUACCUAACUUUUCUUCAGGCCCCAAGCUGGCAGGUGGCAGAACUGGGGUGCUUCUGAGAUGUCAGGUUGGUUCUCCCCACGGGGUGUCAUGGGGCUUCCCUUACGAUGGGCAGAGACCUGAGUAUUUAAAGAUGGUCUUAAAAUUCCUGGGGCAAAAGGUCAUAAGUGCCAAAUGCAAGGCUGGAUUCCCAUCUUCUUCUACUUCAUAGAAAUUCUCCUGCAAAACAGCCAUGCAUUUUCGAGCAGCCUUUUCCAUGGAAAAGCUAGUGUGGGCACAUACUCAAUUCAGUUUCCAGUGCGCUUUCUCACAGAGGUUCUUCCACAAGAUUACAAAGACUGGGAACCCAGCCCAUUCUUAUUAAUAUAUUUAAAAAGUUAUUCUGGCUUCUUUCAGGGCCAUAUCAGUUUCAAAGAUCGCUGUCAGGGUGGGAGCAACUGAAGUUGAACUGGUCUGAAUGCUAAAUGUAGUCUCUGAGCGGAAACUUUUCUUCAGAGUUGAAAAGUCGCUGGAAUAUUCAUAGAAAUGUAAUAUGAGCAGAGGAUAGUGAGUCAGUGUCAAAACUCUGUUCCAAACCAUAUUUGCUGUUUGGAAAACUGGCUCCUCAGGGACCAGCUGGGGAACAAGGUAAGAAGGCGGAGUGGGGUGGGUUACAGUAUGCCUUGGGACAGGGCUGCAGGUCUGGCUCCCCUUCCCCAUGGAUGGAAGGUCUUCUCUCCACAGGAAUUAGGGUUCUGGGGCAGGGGGGUAAUGGGGUCCAGCCUUCCCACUCCAGGAGGGCCAUCUCUGCCUCAGAUAUGGAAACCUUUACUUCAUUUUGCCACUUAAGUUUUGUGACAGAGUUUGAGAUAGAAACUGUGGCGGAAUCUACGUGAAAAUCGUUGGGUAGCAUUUUGCAAGUGUGGAAGUGACAUCAUUUGCUUUUUCCUUGAAAGUUUCCUGAUCUGGAUAUUGGUUAAAAAAAAUCAUGGUGGCAUAGACCCUGAUGAGUAUCAUCUUCAGAUGCUGGAAUUAUAUCUUAAACUAACCAAAGGGAUCAUCUACUGAUGACCCAAAUUUCCUUUCAUGAAUUAACAAAUCUCAUUUUUUUCCCCCUAGGAACUCUACUCAUCUGUAGUUAAUCUAAGAAUUAACAUUUAGCAAAUUACUGCGUCAGUGCCUUAAAUGAGGUAUGUGCCUGGUGGCUCAGUUGAUUAGAACCCUGUGCUAAUGAGGUCAUGAGUUCAGUUCUCAGGAGGCUGGUCCACUUCAUCAUGGUCCCCCUCUGAGCCCCAGCCAGCCCUCCAAAUGAACGCUGGUCACAAGUGGCCUUCUGCGGAAGAAUCAACACAAACUCUUCAACAUUUGUGGGAAAAAAGAACUCAGAGCAUAUGCCUUGAGUUAACUUCGAAUAUGACAGCGGUCCCACGGGGUAACCAAAUGGUACCCUAGAGGCUGCAAAGACUUCUUGCAGACUGUGCAAGUGCCACACUUCCUGGGGGUGGCUUCCGUGCUGGGAGAACAGCUUUGAUGUGUGUGGGAGGUUCCAAUUCGGCACGUUGAAGGGGAGUGUCAUCUAGGAACAGGAGGAGCCUGGAUGCUAUUCAAGAGGCACACCCAGAGGGAUGCUUUGGGAAAUUUUGUCGAAUUUUCACUAAUCGCUUCUUUAAAAGAUGGAUCAUUUUGGAUCUUCUAAUUAAUGUCUGUAGUCAUGCAACCCAUGGGACCAUUUGUCCCCCAGCCAGGCCACUUCAGCCAUUUGUCUCAAGCUAGCAGGAGACACAGUAGCUAAGAGCUUUAAGAACAGGGUGCUUCUCCCUCUCGUGCUUUCUCUCCAUUUUCCACUCUCAGAAACCACUUUUUCAGAUCCGGGUCCAGUUCUGAGCCUAAAUCUCACCCAAGCACGACCGGAUGCAUUGACGUCCUCUGAGGCCAUUUCUUGGGUUUAGGGAAGAAUAAUGCCUAAUGAGCUCCAGCUGUACCUGGUGGUGUUCACAGUUGAAACCAGCAAUCCCCACUGGCUUUCUCCCGUUUCCCAAGAAUACCUUCUCCAGGGCAGAGGCCACCUCUUUUUUUUAAUUAAAAAAUUUUUAGGGUCAGCCCUGUGGCCAAGUGGUUAAGUUCACACGCUCCGCUUCGGCGGCCCAGGGUUUCUUUCGCCAGUUCAGAUCCUGGGCGCGGACAUGGCACCACUCAUCAGGCCAUGCUGAGGCGGCAUCUCACAUAGCACAACCAGAGGCAUUCACAACUAGAAUACACAACUAUGUACUGGGGGGCUUUGAGGAGAAGAAUAAAGAAAAAAAAGAGGAUUGGUAACAGUUGUUAGCUCAGGUGCCAAUCUUCAGAAAGAAAAAUAUAUAUACCUUAAAAAAAUUAAUCAUUGUACUCUCAUCAUCUAGCAGAACACUUUAUAUAUAGUAGGAGUUCAAUAAAUAUUUGUUGAGUGAGUGAGUGAGUGGAUGAAAGAAUCAAAUGUAGAACUGGUUGCAUUUAGACAAAGGCAAUUUUUUUUGGGGGGGAGGAAGAUUGACCCUGAGCUAACAUGUGUUUCCAGUCUCCCUCUUUUUGCUUGAGGAAGAUUGUUGCUGAGCUAACGUCUUUGCCAGCCUUCCUCUAUUUUAUGUGGGAUGCAGCCACAGCACGGCUUGAUGAGUGGUGCUGGGUCUGUGCCCUGGAAUGGAACCUGCAAACCCCAGGCCGCUGAAGUGGAGCGUGUGAACUUAACCACUAUGCCACUGGGUCAGCCCCAAAAGGCAACUGUUUUAAUGUUAUCAUUUUCUUGUUUUUCUCUUUACAAAAUUAUACUUGGCUAUUGAAAAUAAUUUAGAAAAUAGAGGUGAGCAGGAAUUAGGAAAAUAAAAAUCACCCAUAAUGCCAUCAGUUGGAGAUAACCUUUCUUGACAUUUUGGGGUGCAUGAUAUUUAUAUCUAUAUGUGUAUCUAUCAUAUUCAUGGGACUCAGACAAUGUGUAUUAUUGUGUAAUCUUUUUUCACUAUAUUAGAAAACUUUGCAUGAUAUUAUAUAUUCUUCCACAUUAUUAUUUUUAAUUUUUUCAGAGCAUUUUAUUACAUGACAUGAUUUCAAAUUAAUCAGUCACAUAUGAAAAUAUCCUUGUAGCUUAAACUUUCUAUGUAGCUUUGUUUAUUUCCUUGGGAGAAAUCCCUACAAGGAGAAUUGCAUGGCUCCAUGAUUUUCUAUUCACUGUGUAUUGGCAAGUUAUCGGUCAGAGAGGUGCCACCAAUACGUACUCCUACCUGCAAUAAUCUAGUGUGCUGUCUCUCUUCCCUUGCUGAACAGUGUGUAUUAUCAUUCUUUUAAAUAUUUGCUAAUUCAUAGGCACAAAGUAUAUUAGUGUUCCUAUACUUUGCAUUUCUUUUAUAGGUAGUGAAACUGAGUAUAUUUUCAUGUGGCCAUUUUAAUGUCUUCUUUGCAAAGUGCCUGUUAAUGUGUCUUAAGACCCGUAUAUUUUGGGGGCCAAUAUACCCUUCUGUAUUUCAAAGGGCUAUUGUAAGAAUUAGUUGAAGUAAUAUAUUUUAGUAUGUUUGAAACCUGCAAAACAAUAUACAAAUGUGUUGGUCAAGUUUGUGACCUGGUGGUGAAGGUCGGAAGGAAGGGUCACCUGCAGACAAAUGGGCUGAGGAAAUGGGCACCGACUGAAGGCGUGGGUAAACCUUGCCAGAGGAGAGGUAGGGAGAGACAUCUAUGGAGAAAGGGAAAGACGCCAUGGUCUAGAGCUUUGUUACUUUGAAAAGGUCAGGGGAAAUAGAUGAAGUCAGAGAUAAUACAAGGGCUGGGAGCUUGAAACCCGAGCCAAUUAGAGACAGAAGGGAGCGAGAUGGGCUAGGGAGCUAUAGGGAACCAGGGGUGGUUUGUGGCCGCCUGCGAGGGGGGCACAGAUGUCUCUCCAGAUGUCUCCAAACCAGCAACCGGGAAGAGAAAACACCAGCAGUGCCACUUCUCUGAAGACUCACCUGAAUUCUGGUAUGACCAAGGCAGAUGUCUUUAAGAACAGAAAGGGACGCCCGUGCCCCUGCACGCAGGUGUGGUCCUCUGGCCAGAACACAUCUGUGCUUUCCAGUACGUCCCUGGAGUAACCACACUGGGAGAGGCAAGCAAAACACACAGAGAAAUGAUAACUAAAUGGAGAUAAAAUACUGCACUGAAAUUCCCCCAGCGUAUAUAUGACCCC